AAGAAUAUAGCCUAUUUAAGGUAUAUCUUUUACACAGAUAAGAUGAUUGAUUCUGUUCUUA
rnacentral:tRNA from 1 species